rnacentral:rRNA from 1 species
CCUACGGGCGGCAGCAGUGGGGAAUAUUGCACAAUGGGGGAAACCCUGAUGCAGCGACGCCGCGUGAAGGAAGAAGUAUUUCGGUAUGUAAACUUCUAUCAGCAGGGAAGAAAAUGACGGUAACUGACUAAGAAGCCCCGGCUAACUACGUGCCAGCAGCCGCGGUAAUACGUAGGGGGCAAGCGUUAUCCGGAUUUACUGGGUGUAAAGGGAGCGUAGGCGGUUUAGCAAGUCAGAAGUGAAAGCCCGGGGCUCAACUCCGGGACUGCAUUUGAAACUGUUAAACUAGAUUGCAGGAGAGGUAAGUGGAAUUCCUAGUGUAGCGGUGAAAUGCGUAGAUAUUAGGAGGAACACCAGUGGCGAAGGCGGCUUGCUGGACUGUAAAUGACGCUGAGGCUCGAAAGCGUGGGGAGCAAACAGGAUUAGAUACCCCUGUAGUC